GAGGAGGAGGGGGAGGGGGAGGAGCGCACCCAGCAGUGGGCUUGCAUCACAACCAGGCUUCUGGUUCAUGUGUGGGGAGACAAACACAAAGACUCCUCUUGGCCCCAGUCUCCUGGGCUUUCUCCAGGCAACCCUGGGAUUCCGGAGUUUUGGGGGCAGGACCUAGUAGGGGACAGGAAGUGGGGGGAUCUUGAUCUGCUCACUUGCACCAGCCCUGGGCCAAGGACCUCUUUGGACAGUUUGGCUCAAAUGUAGAAAGAAGCCAGUCUGGAUAAGAUGGCCCGUCCUCUCCUCCAAGGCUACUGCCCCUGCAUUUUGCAUCAUCUGCUGAUGUAGUCACUAAACCACACUAGGUGCCAUGCCCUUUGCUGGGCAUUUGGUGGGCAAUAUAGACCCUGUGUCUUCCCUUAUGAAUCUUAUGUCUGAGAAAGAGACAGACAUGAGCAAAAUCCAUGAAUAAGCAAAGAGCUGCAUCUGUAAGGCUAUGAAGUGGCUCCAGUCUAGUCCUGGGGACUCUGGACAGGUUGAUGGCUGAGUGGAGAUGACUUAGGGGAGUGGUAGGGCAGGGCAGGGAGAUGAACUAGCUGGCUGGUUCCGAAUGCGCAAAGGCCCUGGGGCAGGAGGAGCCCAGCAGGUUCUAAACACUGGAGGAAUCGUGAGACAGCCAGUGUGACUGCAGCUCACAGAGCAAAGGCUGGCAGGCCAGAGAGGCCAAAUGAGAGGAUUCAUUCUCUAUCCUUCCUGCUCUGGACCCCCGGGGAGGUCAUAGUCAGGUCUGCACUGGGGGAGCCCACAGUGCUGCCUGAAAGGAGGAAGUGCUGCAGGGGAUGGAGGAGCAGCAGAGAGGCUCCUGGGGUAGCCCAGGUGACUAUUCUUGGACCAGACUAAUAGGAGUGGAAGAGGUGGGGAGGGACAGGCUCAAAGGCCCUGGGGAAGAGAAUUCGCAGAGCACCCUGAGUCUGUGCAUCUCUAGUUGAUGCAAUUAGGGCACAGCUUCUGCCCGCCUCCGGGGGACCAGCCUGGGGACCUGGGACCCACAGCGCCUGCCCUCAGAGCGGGGAGCUGGAAGUGUCUUUCGGCUGAAGUAGCCCUGGCUGUGGAGUUUUCGCAGGUUCCUUCAUCUCUCUGAUCCUCUUUUCCCUAAUCUGUGAAGUGGGGACCGAGAAGCCCAUCUUGCAGUUCUGGGUCCUGCUCAGUAAAGUGGAAGCUUCCAGAGACGCCCAGGUGUUGAAACGGCUUUGCAGGGGGGCUUUGCAGCUGCACCCGGGCUGGGCAGGUGACAGGGCCCCAUGCAGAAUCCGAAUGUCAGGGAAGACCACACCGCGCCUGGAAGCCCAACACAGCCGAGAGAGAAACAGACAAUCAAGGCAUUGAAAAAGUGGAGGAGAAGCCUGGAAAAACUGGCUGGGGCCAAUGUCUAGAGGUAUGGGACUCCGGAUUCUCAUUCUGAAGGCCACAGGGAGCCAGUAACAGCUCUUGAGCAGGGCAUGGUUUGAUCCUUUUGCCAAGGAUUUGUCACCUUGGAGACAGCAGACGGACUCAGGUAAAAAUCUGGGGCUCUGCGGGGAGGGGAAGGUGGUGGGAUUUGCAGUUCUGGGAUUGACAAGAAAACAGGACAUGAGGCCAGGUAAAUAGGUAGACCAGAUGGCCCCUCCAAAGUUCACGUUCUGUCUCUCCUGCAAUCCAGUGUUCUAGUUUCCAGGUAGGAAUUUCGUGGCAUAGGCGAAGCCACUGAGGCACAGAAAAGGCCAAUCACCGCCCCAGGUCACGCAGCUAGGGUUGAGGCCUUGGAUGUAAGAUCCCUGCUGCACUCAUUUCAAGACUCCGGGUAGCAUGGGCUCCAGCUGCCUGGCCAGGCCUGCAGAUGGGGAUGAGGGCCAGCUGAUGGGGGACAGUCUUCUGGAGCCCCUCUCUGUAGAGCCAUGUGGCCCGAGGGGGAAGGGAGCCUGGUGGGCAGGGAGGAGCUGCCACAUGGAAGAGGCUUGAUGGGAACCAUCUGGCCUGUGCUGGGAGUGUGGGCUGCAGGAGGAGGGCGGGGCAGGAGGUGGGCAGGAGGCCAUGGUGGGCUGGGCCGGCCCGCUGGUGGAUGGCGGCCGGGGCUGGGAGCGGUGGCCCAGAGGCCCCUGCCUUCCAGACGGCUGUAGCCCAGAUGCCUUUGCAGCCGGCCUGGCCCCGUCCAACCCGCUGACCUCAUUCCCAGCGCCUCCUCCCUCCUCGCAGGCUCCUCGCCUGCCUGCCACGUAGACUCGGCCACAGGGGGAAGGAGAGUGGGACCCAGGUGCCCUGAGCCCAGAGCCCUGCCAGGACCUACAGAGCUGUGGGCAGCCGCUGUGACCACUUGGGGCCUCAGUUUCCUCUCCCCAAACAUGAGGUCCGGUAAAUGAGGGGGACUGGGGUGAUGGGAGAAGCCAGAUGAGAAGCAGGGUGGAGUGAGGAGCGGGGAACCAAGGGGGCUUCCUGGACUCGUGAGAGCCUUCCCCGCCUUCUGGGCUCCCGGGUGCUGUCCUCACAUCUCAGCAUCGCACUGGCUGUUGGGUGCAGAGAGCAGCACGCUGUCCCCUGUCGGGCUCCUCAGAGCCCCCCAUCCUGCCCCCCGGCCCGGCGUAUCUGCCUCCCUGCCCCCCAGGUCCUGGUGUUACUGUCCUGAGGAGCUGGGGCUGUCCCUGCCGUCUGCCCAGGCGUUCCCGGCCGAGGAGGAGAGAGAGACACAGAGAGAGAGGUGGAGCCAGUUUCCUGGAGUCACAGAGCUGGGAAGUAGCUGCACUGAGAUGAAAACCCAGAAAGUCUCAUGCUUCACUCAGAGACCCAGGACGGAUGCCAAGUGGACCACCCCACCCCACUGCAGAAGUGGCUGUUUGCAGGAAUGCGCUGUCUCCUCUUGGGCUCAUGCACGGGAAGGACCACAGCAUAACGUGGCUGAAACUGACCACAGGCACUAGCCGAGUGGCCAGUCCCAGCUACCCCGCCCUGCCUCCCGUCUGCCCAGGGGCUACUGUGAGCUGACCACACCACGACACACACAGCAUCUCAUUUAUUUCAUUAAAAAAAAACUCUCCCUCCAUUUAUUUUCCUUUUCUUUUUUCUCUAUUUUUCAUUAGUGUAUAUUUGUGACAUAAGAAAUGCAUUCAUCAUGGGGAAUCGGCACCUAUACAAACUCUGGUCUUAAUCCUUUUUACUCCCUUUCUCUCCCCACUCUCCUAUCUCCACCACCCUCAGACUCCCCCUCCCCUCCUUUGCUUUGAUUUAUUGAUCCUUUGUAUUGGGUUUUUUGGUACCGGGGAUCGAACUCGGGUCCUUGUGCUUGAGCAGCAGGCAACGAAACCACUAAGCUAAAUCCCAGGCCCUGUAUUGGUUUUUAAUCUCAAUUCAUUAAUUUCCAUUCUGAUCAUUACAAUCUCUUUCCUUCUAUUAGUUUCAGAGUUGGGUUGCUCUUGUCUUUCUAGGACCUUAAGAUGCAUCCUCAGAUUAUUUAUUUGGGAUCACUCUAUUAGGCCCUAACCUUCCCUCUCAGAACUGCUUUCAUUGAGUUCCACAGGUCUUGAUAUGUUGUGCUUUCAUUGUCCUUUGAUUCUAGGAACUUGUAAAUGUCUUCUGUGAUCCGUGGAUUAUUCAAUAGCAUAUUCUUUAAUCUCCCUGUAUUUGAGUAAAAUAGUUUCUGUGGCUUCUUUU
rnacentral:lncRNA from 1 species